UACGAAGGGGGCUAGCGUUGCUCGGAAUGACUGGGCGUAAAGGGCGCGUAGGCGGAAUGCUUUGUCGGGCGUGAAAUUCCAGGGCUCAACCUUGGGGUGCUGCGUUCGAGACGGGUAUUCUUGAGUUCGGAAGAGGGUCGUGGAAUUCCCAGUGUAGAGGUGAAAUUCGUAGAUAUUGGGAAGAACACCGGUGGCGAAGGCGGCGACCUGGUCCGAGACUGACGCUGAGGCGCGAAAGCUAGGGGAGCAAACGGG
rnacentral:rRNA from 1 species